CCCGAGAUGCCAUGGCAGCUCCACGCCAUCAUCCGUCAUCGCUGCCGCCAUCACGGGAGGUCGCCGCCGCCUUCUCCUCCCCCUCUCUCGAUUUGGAUCUUGGAGACGGAGCAUUCUUGGUUGAUUGGCUUUCUCCUCUGACCCUCCUCCUGAUCUCCACCCCUAUCUCAACCAGGUACUCCGCCGUGCCUUCUAUGACACACUCCAUCAAAAUUGAGGCACCGGCCUCCUCUCAGCAGGAAUCGAUGCUGCUCCUUGGCGGACGGGCCAAAUCCCCAUCGAGUUCAUCCAGAAGCUCCUUGACCGUGCGCUGGUUCGCUACGCCCCCGUGGUCGGCCUCCUCGAGGAUAUCCUCACCAUGGCGUGCACCUGUGAGGGUGUGUCGUUUCAUGACGACGAUGGCGAGCUGCUCAAUGGCGGAUCCCUGAAGGCGUGCCGUUCUCGAUGGGCCUCCUGGACAACUGCACCAUCAAAUCUCCUGGGCGGACGCUUGGGGAUUCGACUGCGCCGGUGAUGGAGAUGGGACAGGACCCGACGCGGAUGGAGGUCCCUGAUGUCGCGCUUGAUGUCCACCAUGGAGCGGCUGCAGGAAAGCACGGCGGGGGAGCAGCGGAGUUCAUGCUCACGGGUUGGUUCGCCCUUACCUGGUGGUUGUGAUGCUUUUCGUCAACGAUUGGUGGAUUAGUGGCACUAGACAGUCCCCGUCUGCAGCGACAGUGUACUGAGAGUCGACAGUUUGGAUGGUAUGCAUUGUCAGCUAUGAACGUAUAGCCUAAUAGCUGCAGCAUGGUUAUGAAAUUUUAAGUACUCUACCAAAAAGGGGACUACGGGCUUCAACAUCAGUAAAUUAAUUAGGAAAUAACACUUCCAAGAUCAUCUACUGCCACCAAGUUCAUGUAGAUCAAAUGUUCAUAGCCAUCAGCAGGUGCAUGAAUUCAGAGGCCGGACGUGAUGGAAAAUCACAGCUGAGAUUUAUAGUGUUGCGAUGCUAAUUUAGAGGUCUUGGCAAGCAAGAUGUAUGCAAAUUAUUCCGUCAGUCUCCUCAACAGCUUCUGGAUGUUCGAAAAUACAAAGCUACUGGCUGGUUUUGAAUACUACUUCCGAACCUAGCCAAAGAGAAACCGGAGGCAUAAUUAGAUGGAUUUUCCUGAAACCAAGCAUGUCUGGAACUUUCAAAUUGGUUGCUAAUUUCUACAGAAAUUACACCUUUAAGAAGUUUCCAUGAUUUUGGGCUAGCAAAAAGGGCCUGUUAUAGUGAUUUUCCUAAUAUGGAGGAUGUAUCGCUAGAUUAUAUGGGAGCUUGAGGGAGUACACGCACAUUUCGUGGUUUUGGUUUCCGUUAUCUCUUUUUUUCAUUCUUUCGCUUUCAUUUGCUUGGGGGGCAGAAUAAUUCAUUGAAUAACAUAAACAAAUUCAAACCCUGUGGGUGCUAAUAGAUUGUUCUAUUUUCAGGUUGUCUUGCUGUUAACACCAAUUGCUGCAAGAAAAUGGCAACUUAUUUUUGCCUCUAAUUUAGUGUGAUCAGUUCAGCGACACCACUCAUGACGCCACUCCUAAGUUGAGAAUAUACGAGAGCUCAUUGUGUCUUUAGCUGAUCAGAACAACAAUCAACUAAAGCAUUGUUUUCUUCCAGAGAACUCCAUGGUUUGUUUUGCUAUUAUUUCUUAGAUCAUGUUCAGCUCUUUCCAUGGUUCCAAGGCGAUGCAUAUCAGUUGAAGAACAAGCGUGUUGCUCAAGUUUAAUGUUGCACGCAAGGUCACAAAGAUUUGAAUCUUCUAGGUUUACUUAAUGGCUAGAACAAAAUCGUCAUCUGAUGCCUUCGCCACCAUCCGAGUCAUGACUAGAAUCUUAGAAACCCUCUUCACCGCCUCAUUGGGCUAUCUAUGGAUUGUGUGUCAGUGAAGCAAUUGGUCUAAUGGACAUAUAUGGAUAGCCACUAUUGUCUGUCAAGAUAAACACAAUGGCCAAGUAAGUGAACAGUGACAGUUCUAGAUGAUUCAUUAGUUUAUGUACAUACGAAGAUAUCGAAAACAGUGAGUUGACGUUCCGUAUUGUUAUAUCUCAUUUUUCUCUAUUCUAACAAAGGGUACUUAAAAUGUAGCUAUCCAUCAACAAUUUAGAGCCUAUCCAGUGAAAUGAUUUAUGUGUCAAUAUAUCAUGAUUUACCAGUAGCUUGAAUGCUAAUAUUUGCAACUGUAGACUGAGCAUGACAUAUCAUGUUUAUUUUUUUAUUUCAUUCUAUGCAUCUCCUUGCAACUUUCGAUGAUAUUGUUGUCGAGGUUUUGAAGGCAGGUGAAAGUGAGGUGGCUUAGCAGGCACCACAAGCGUUUGCCUAUUUUUUGUUCCUAUUGCACUAUAUUUGACUUACAGAUCUUGGUUACUGAAGUUAGAUCUCUUGACAGUUAUUUUCUUAACUUCUCUUGCUGGUGCUAUUGCCCCAUAGUUGUAUUUAUACCAGAUUCAUAUGAGUAGCAUGAAUAUGUUCUUUGGUUUGUUGUUAAAUUAUCUUACCUUUUGUUGUAUCUCCCUGCUUACUCUAUAAAUAUGAAAGGAUGCGCAACUUCUGGUUUACACAACGACUAUAAAGAAGCAAAUGACUGAAUAUCAGGCCCUGCAAUUUUGAUUUUGAGAACUUAUAUGUGUUUGUGCUCUGGUCCAGGUCUCCUUAAAUAAAUACAAUACAUCAUUACUGUCCAAUUUCCUUAAAUGAAUUUAAUGUUCAACGAGUUAUGUUGAAUGUACCCUUCAUCUGAUCUUAGGACUCAACAUUUCGGUUUUCUAAUCCCUUUCAAAAUAGUCAUUAGUAAGAGAAGUCAAUAUGACCACUGUUACACUACUACCGCUGAAAACAAAAAUAUUCUUCUUUGCACAUUAGCAAUAGCAUAGGCAGUCCACCUACCAUGGAAAUGUUUGGCUUACUUUUUUCCCUAUUUUAUGCGAAUUGUUGUCUUGCAGUGGGAGUCAGUUGUAUUUGGUACGUACAUGUUUCAGCUAUGUUCAUGUUGGGUUUGUUUCAAAAUUUCAGUUAUGCCCUUUGUCCAUCCGAAAUGAUUUUUUGAAAUGUAACCGCCUUCAUGCAGGAUGUGGAAAAUGACAAUGCCUUUUGAGACCAGAGGAAAACAAUGGAAUCAAUAGUAAUACCGUUGCUAUCAACUAAUAUUGGCAUGUUAAUUCUUCGUGGACGUAGGGCAUUUAUGUAGCCAGAUGAAAGAUAAUAGUUGCAAACAAUGCAUACUUUUUUUUGUAGUAGGUUCAUAUAUGUUGCGCUCUUCGUGGCUUGGUACACAUUAAGCUGCAUGCCUAUAAGCAAAUAUGCUAUAUAUUUUUUUUUUCUUUGGAAUGUGCACUACCGUUUGUUUGCAUCCACUCAUCUUAUCUUUAAGAAAACAAAAGAAAACAUAUAUAAUAGU